GAUUUCAUGUGUAUGAUUGAGUAUAAGAAGUAGAACCGCAAUCGGUUCCCAAAAGCUAAAGUAGUGUUUCCUUGUUAGAAGAUACAAAGCCAAAAACUCAUACAGACUUUGGCUACACCAUCAAAGCUUUGAGAAGCAAU
rnacentral:sRNA from 1 species